AUUGAACGCUGGCGGCAGGCCUAACACAUGCAAGUCGAGCGGAUGAAGGGAGCUUGCUCCUGGAUUCAGCGGCGGACGGGUGAGUAAUGCCUAGGAAUCUGCCUGGUAGUGGGGGAUAACGUCCGGAAACGGGCGCUAAUACCGCAUACGUCCUGAGGGAGAAAGUGGGGGAUCUUCGGACCUCACGCUAUCAGAUAAGCCUAGGUCGGAUUAGCUAGUUGGUGGGGUAAGGGCCUACCAAGGCGACGAUCCGUAACUGGUCUGAGAGGAUGAUCAGUCACACUGGAACUGAGACACGGUCCAGACUCCUACGGGAGGCAGCAGUGGGGAAUAUUGGACAAUGGGCGAAAGCCUGAUCCAGCCAUGCCGCGUGUGUGAAGAAGGUCUUCGGAUUGUAAAGCACUUUAAGUUGGGAGGAAGGGCAGUAAGUUAAUACCUUGCUGUUUUGACGUUACCAACAGAAUAAGCACCGGCUAACUUCGUG
rnacentral:rRNA from 1 species